UGAAAACAGAAGAAAGAAGUUUGGAAAAGUCAUUAUCUGAAACAGAAAUGUCUCUAUGUACCCACAUUUUUAAUAACUGGCCAAUAUAACAGGGUUUUAGGAAAGGGACCAUAGGACUUUUACAACCGUUUGUAACAGCUCAUCAAGCAACAUCUGUUAAAAAUAUUACCUGGAUCAUAUCAACUUCUGUGGCAUGAUCUUUACUUGGAGACCUAAAUCAGCAAGAUCGCUGUCAGCAGGAGCCUUGGUUCCUGAAUUAUUACUGCUCUGGCCAGAACUGAUUCAGGAUUGGGCUUGAGUUUAAAUGAGAAAUUACCUUUUAUUUAAUAGGUCCUGACUUGUCUGAUCUGCACAUGUCUCUAAUUGUAUUUUAAAUUAGAAAGGUGACAUUUAAUUAACUAAAAAACAAACUCCAGCAGAAGCUAAAGGGCUACUGUGCUGCAGGCCUGAAAACCCAUCUGUGAAAUAGCAACUACUAACAUGCCUCUGUCUAAACUGUGAUUAAACUUAUUUUUUAUUAAACACAUAAAGCUUCUA